GUAUUUUUCUAAUCUUACAUUUGUCCCUUGUUAAUAUAGAGAGAAACCAAAACAGCAUCACCAAAAUGUUCCAUGACUAACGAGUAUCAGCCUUUCAAGAUGUUCAAACUAAAGCACAAUCAUUUUUUCAUUAGCCUUAAAGGAGUAAAAAUAGUUGGGAUCACAGCUGCUUCUAAUCUAACCUUAUCGUGCACCAGAAAGAAAUUUUACAAAAGGGUGAAGAAAGAGAAGACAUGUACACGCAUGAAACUAUUCCAACACGUGAACCUCUCAUUCUCAUCAUUAA
rnacentral:misc_RNA from 1 species